rnacentral:lncRNA from 1 species
AAACUGGCGAACCUGAAAAUCCGCGAUCCUCACUUACUACUCCUCGGAAACCAAAUCUUCACUUGCUUCCACACACUAAGGGUCCAACACGAGCAAAGAUCGAAAAUACACUUCCUCAGCUCAAACUUACAAACAACUGGAUUUAACCUCAGAGAACAUGACUAAUACUUGGCGGCAAGUCCAACUUACAUGCCACCUCACCAACCUGCCGACAAAACCAAGGGUCUCCACACAAGAAGGGCCAAUUCUGAUCCUGCCAAAAAUCCACUCACCAAGUUUCCUUCCUAAUGACGCGCCCCUUGCACGUACAGAAAAAUCCUUAACAUCUACAUCACAUCAUCCUCGACAUAACAUCCAUCUGAUCGCAUCAACCGACACAACCAUGCCAUCCUGACACAAGAUUCCUCCUUGACUGAAAUCCAAAAGCCUCCCUUAUAAUCUAACAUGGGGCCUACAGCUCCACAAACUUACUCUCACGGCAACUCAGCUCGUCAUCCAGAGAAUUCUCAAGCUAACACUAUUUACUUUGAAAAAUUUACUUAUUUAUUUACUUUAUAAUCAUCACUGAUAAAAACUUUAUUAUCUUGAAAAAUACUUUUACAAAAUCGUAAAAUCUCUAGCCAUUUUUCUUUAUAUAAAAUUCUACAAUAUCGCGCGCCAGGGUGAUGAUGCCCCCUAUCACCAAGGGUUGCAAUGCACAAUGUAUGAUGCAUGUCCUAAAAUGAAUUUAUGCAUGCCUAACAGUGAAAUGCCAUAAUGCAUUCUUACGGGACUGGGCGCAAUAUUGUAUUUUAAAACACUUGUUCUACUUAGAAAAAUAAAUAAUGUUCGCUUAAGUUUCUCUGGAUUCUGAGCGUCCGAAAAUACUGCUGCCACCUUUCUUAAGCUUCUUACAAUCACCAAAACUCAACCAUAGAGCUCUGACAUCUACUCGAC